UUUGUUUACAAAGCAGUGUAAUUGGUUUAAACCCCGAGGCUAGGGAAAGAGAAAAAUGGGGCGGGUGUGCGUGUGACCCCCUUUGGAAAAGGAAAAAAAAGAAAAAUAGGCGGUGCCUGGAGGACAGGCCAGGGCUUUAGACCAGAGUAGUGCUGCGGGAGAAGGACCGGGGCGGUGGCGUCAGAGCCCCAGCGCAGGGACCGUGCUCGCUGAAUGACCCCGAGUUCCCUCCCGGAGGCGCGCACUACCUUAUGGACCUGUCUGCUACUGGUUUUUGGUCCUUCAUCUCCUUUGCUUCUCCACCCCGAUUCUAGACCCAAAGUUCUACCCUGGGAGACCACCCCCACUUCCCGGGCUUCGGGCUUGUAAAGGUGAAAAGCCCCCACUUUUGCCUCGUCACUAGAAACCCAGUCAUCUGAGUCAGUCGAGCAGGCGACGUUAGGCCGACCUGGGCUCCUGGCUAGCAGAACGGAGGCGCUGCCACGAAACUCGUACCUGCGGCUAAGAGCAGCGAUCAGAAAGAGGAAGAAACGGAGAGCAGAUGUUUGUGUGAUAGGGCCUGCCUCUCUCUGUGCCGGGCUCCUCCUCCAACCCCCCUUCUGCUGCCUCCGGGACCGAGCUGGAGGCGACCGUCUGGUUUCUGAUAGAGAAAGGACUGGAUUUGGAUCUCAUUCGAUUGUGACCCUUUGGAAGUAUGGACACUAAGAUGUUCCAUUGAUGCCACCAUGACUUCCUGUGUAUGAACCAGAUGUGGUUCCAAAAGCAGACAGCAGAAGAACUAAUAGGCAG